UGCAUGUCUCAGUGCAAGCCACAUUAAGGUGAAACCGCGAAUGGCUCAUUAAAUCAGUUAUGGUUCCUUAGAUCGUACCCACAUUACUUGGAUAACUGUGGUAAUUCUAGAGCUAAUACAUGCAAACAGAGCUCCGACCAGAAGUGGAAAGAGCGCUUUUAUUAGAUCAAAACCAAUCGGUCGGCUUGUCCGGUCCGUUUGCCUUGGUGACUCUGAAUAACUUUGGGCUGAUCGCACGGUCUUCGUACCGGCGACGCAUCUUUCAAAUGUCUGCCUUAUCAACUUACGAUGGUAGGUUCUGCGCCUACCAUGGUUGUAACGGGUAACGGGGAAUCAGGGUUCGAUUCCGGAGAGGGAGCCUGAGAAACGGCUACCACAUCCAAGGAAGGCAGCAGGCGCGCAAAUUACCCACUCCCGGCACGGGGAGGUAGUGACGAAAAAUAACGAUACGGGACUCAUCCGAGGCCCCGUAAUCGGAAUGAGUACACUUUAAAUUCUUUAACGAGUAUCC
rnacentral:rRNA from 1 species